ACACAAAGGCAGGAAGAGAAGUGGUCUGAAACAAGAGAAGAGGGCCGGAUAAGACAACUUGGACAUGUGGGCAGGAGGAGCCAACCCUGGGAUCAGUGGAUGACCAGCUGUAGCUCUUAACCCCCAAACGGUUAGGACUCAACUUAGACCUUCUGCCACACAAUGAGGAACUCCAGUGUCGGGGGGAGGAUGAUGGAGACCUACGGUUCAUAAGUGGAUUGUGUCAACAUGCUGUCCACACCUGACUGAGAUCCCAUCUCAUUAUGAACCAGGACACCUCGGCAUGUGGUCUGAGUAAUCAGAUCCAAAUGCUAGUAAGAUCUGAUCUCGGAGCAGACAGGUCUUCUCCAGACCAUUGUAACCAAGGCGUUGUGUUGUCAGUUACUCUUGUUCAUGUCACCAAGGACAACACUGGAUAAUUAUAGGCAUUAUGCCAUGGCUGGUGUGGUAUUUUAAGUCUUGAAGAGCAUUCUAUUCAAUCGGUUGUGUACAUUUUUGUACCACAGACAACCGGUUUGGGUUCAAGGCUAAGCAUGGGUCUUACUGGUGUAACUUUGCCUUGAAAGAAGUAGCCAAGAAGCCAAACUCCUCUGUCCUAAUCAACUUUAUUGAUGCCUCUAAGGCUUUUCAUUGUGUAAAUCACCUAAAGUUAUUUCUGUCAAAGAGACCAAGAGGGGAUAAGGACCUCAAUUUUCCAAAUUUAAAUCUAUCAGGGCAAGUGCCAUGAGUUUGUUAUAUAGUUACAUAUCUGUGGUACUUCAUUGCAGAACAAAUGUAUG